GUUGUUUCUUGGCUUGCAACACGAAUCGAUCUCCACGACAUGUUUAGUUUCAUGGAAAGAAUUUGGGGUUGCUUCAAUUUUCCCGUUGGUUGUAAAUUGUGGAUGAUAGUCUUUGGAACACAUGAAUUUUACAUAUCAGUUGAAUUGUCUUGAUGGUUCUGAAAAUAUCAUGAGCCUAGAAUUUGGUAUGUGCAAUAGGUUGUGAAAUAGUUGGUAUUAGAAUUUCUCAAAGAGUCCAUCUAGGUCAUAUAAGGAGAGCUUUUUG
rnacentral:lncRNA from 1 species